UUGUUUCGGCAGCACAUAUACUAAAAUUGGAACGAGAAGAUUAGCAUGACCCCUACACAAGGAUGACACACAAAUUCAUGAAAAGGGGGGAAGUGGU
rnacentral:snRNA from 1 species